ACAAAAAUGAUGCUAUUCACUUUCUCGUGCAUUCAAUAUUUGUUGUUAUUUUUAUGCGCAUUUUUUCACCAUGGCGUUCCGUUUGUCCGCUUCGUGGAAUAUUUUCCGGUUUUAAAACUUUAGCGACAUGUACGAUCGACGCCAGUUGAUUGCGGCCUUAAAGUUCAAUUCCUUACGGGAUCGGGGGCACCGUGCACUGAUCCGGGUAGUUUUUGGCCUGCAUUGUCGACAUGAGAUAAGAAGCAGCUGAUGCCACGAUUUCUGAAGUACGUUACUUGCACUGUAUCGGUCGAUUGUACACUUCCAGAAACGAAUGGGACAUUAAAUCACAACGAUGCGGAAGUAUUAACGGAGAUGGUUGGUAAAGUGCGCAGAGCGACACUAGAUGGGAAAUUUUGUGAUUGCCCGACAUAUACCCAGAAUCAGCAACAUAUGUGUUCUGGAUGUUCCGUUUGUAAAUAAAUAUCCAAAGAACACAUGACAUACCUUGUCAAAAUGUAAACAAAACAGCUCUUGGCGGUAGUGGAGCUUAUUCAACGGAACAUGACAACUAACUGACAAGAUUAUGCUCUUGCUCCUACCAAUGGUGAGUGUGUCGUUCUUGAGCAUAGAUUAAAAAGGCUGCGUGUUCCCGUAUGCGAUGCGCUUGUAGGAAACGAUUUAAACUUUGAGAAAAGAUACUAUGUAAGCAUCUACAGACUUCAAUUUAACUAUGUUAUAAAAAUAUGCAAAUGAAAAAAUGUAUGAAUCACAAUUUUGCUGGAAAUUCAAUUUAACAGUAAAUCCGCCGUAAAAAAAACAAGUAAAAUUGUUGUGAAAACAAUGUAAAUCAACGUUUUGACUUCCAAAAUCUACAACAGAAUAACAUUCUAAAUCGUUGUAAGUGGUUUCAAAAUGUAUGGAAAAAAGCCAAUUUUUUCAUUGUUACAUCGCUUAACGACCGCCCUUUUUCGAUGUAAAAAUUGUAUUUAUAA